UCCUGCAACACAAACUAAAAAUCAAUUAUGUCCAUAUGAGAGUGUCAAGAUGACGGAUAAUGGGAUUCACAUUAAUGAUCAUAAGUCAAAUAAUGAUUUAGAUAUUGUGCCUUUCCCUACUCCUAUUCAGACAGAAGACAUUACAAUGGCAAUACCUCAAUCUCCUAAUGAGGUUCUUCAUAAUAUUCUCACCUAUAAAGAAUCAGAAAUCGGACACCUCCAAUUAUGUGACACAAAUGUUCAAGUAGAGGACCUUUCACCUAGAAGUAUUAAAUCAAUAAAGUUUGCAAAGAAGAAUAAAAAACAAGGUAAUGAAGAAUCUAUUCAACCCAUCAGAUCUCAGCCGAAGAGGCAGGUGACACAUAAAAAAUAAUGUUAUCAAUGAAGGCCCUUAUAUGGAAUAUUAGGUAAAAUGCAUUCCAAAGAGUCUUGAUGUUACAUAAUUUUCACAAGUUCAGUUUUGUUGCUCUGAUGGAACUGUUUCAGCAUGUGGGAGGCUUGAACAGAUAUAAUAGAAGAUUGAAAGUGGCAAAGGGGUAUUCCAAUAGUAGUGGUAAAAUUUGGUUAUUUGUGAAUCAUGGAUUUGAUGUAACAGAAGUGAGAAAUUUUGAGCAACAACUUUCUGUAUUGCUUAGAAAUCAAAAUUCUAAAUCAACAUGUGUUACUAUUAUUUAUGAAAAAUGUGACCUCUAUCAGAGAAUGCAACUAUGGGAAGAUAUUUCCCAAGUAGCUGAUGGUCUGCAAUAUUCAUGGAUAAUAGGAGGGGACUUCAAUGUGUUUCUUAAUGAGGAAGAAAAAAUUGGUGGUCGACCAGUGACAGGGAAUGAGGUUGAAGAUUUUUAAAAUUGUAUUGAAUCUAAUGAGCUAUAUCUUGUUCAAUUUAAAGGCACUCCAUUUACUUGGUGGAAUGGUAGGGCUCGAUGUGAUUGCAUCUUUGAGAGAUUAGAUAGAAUUUUUGUUAAUAAUAUGUUGCAAGACCAAUCCAAUUUCUCAGAAGUGGAACAUCUUUCUAGAACUAGAUCGGAUCAUGCUCCUCUUUUAUUCUCAUGUGAAAAUAGAUAUUCCAGAUUCAUCAAACCUUUUAGGUUCCUGAAUUUUUGGACUAAGCAUAGGGGUUUCAAGGAUGUGAUUAAAUAGAUUUGGGAUGAUGAGUAUUCAACCAACUAUUUUCUGGAUUUCAAGAGGAAGAUUAAGAAAGUAAAGGCUGCUCUUUCUUUAUGGAAUAAGGAAACUUUUGGAGACAUAUUCAAACAACUCAUCAUCAGAGAGGAAAUAGCAAGAAUCAAGGAAAAGCACUUUGAGGAAUUUCCCUAUGCUGAAAAUAUAGUUAUUAUGCAAAGGGCAAAGGAUGAAUAUACUAGAUAUUUGCAUCUAAAGAAGAAAUUUUGGCAACAAAAGGCAGGGUAUGAUUGGUUUGACAGGGGUGAUAAAAACAUAAGAUUCUUUCAUAGCUUGGUGAAAAGGAGAAGACAAAGAAUGAAGGUAACAAGAACUCAAAAUGCACAAGGACAAUGGUUGGAAGAUGAAAAUACAAUGGCUCAGGAGGCAAUAACACACUUUCAAAACCAAUUUCAUCAGGACAGAGAUGCCACUAAUAUCACCUUGCUGGACCACAUACCAUAAUUAAUCUCUGAGGAUGAAAACACUGAGUUGGGGAUUGUUCCAAAUGAAGAAGAAGUGAAAAAUGUUGUUUUUAAUCUUAAUGAGGACAAUUCUAGUGGUACAUAUGGACUUACAUGUAGAUUCUACCAAGUUUGUUGGGACAAUGAUAUUUGUAGAAUGGUGUGUGAGUUUUAUGUGGGCAGCUCCUUACCUAGGUUCAUUACUCAUACUAAUUUGAUUCUCAUUCCCAAAAAGGAUAUCAUUCAGUCCUUUUCAGAUAUGAGACCUAUUAGUCUAACAAAAAGGAUAUCAUUCAGUCCUUUUCAGAUAUGAGACCUAUUAGUCUAACAAAAAGGAUAUCAUUCAGUCCUUUUCAGAUAUGAGACCUAUUAGUCUAACAAAAAGGAUAUCAUUCAGUCCUUUUCAGAUAUGAGACCUAUUAGUCUAACAAAAAGGAUAUCAUUCAGUCCUUUUCAGAUAUGAGACCUAUUAGUCUAACAAAAAGGAUAUCAUUCAGUCCUUUUCAGAUAUGAGACCUAUUAGUCUAACAAAAAGGAUAUCAUUCAGUCCUUUUCAGAUAUGAGACCUAUUAGUCUAACAAAAAGGAUAUCAUUCAGUCCUUUUCAGAUAUGAGACCUAUUAGUCUAACAAAAAGGAUAUCAUUCAGUCCUUUUCAGAUAUGAGACCUAUUAGUCUAACAAAAAGGAUAUCAUUCAGUCCUUUUCAGAUAUGAGACCUAUUAGUCUAACAAAAAGGAUAUCAUUCAGUCCUUUUCAGAUAUGAGACCUAUUAGUCUAACAAAAAGGAUAUCAUUCAGUCCUUUUCAGAUAUGAGACCUAUUAGUCUAACAAAAAGGAUAUCAUUCAGUCCUUUUCAGAUAUGAGACCUAUUAGUCUAACAAAAAGGAUAUCAUUCAGUCCUUUUCAGAUAUGAGACCUAUUAGUCUAACAAAAAGGAUAUCAUUCAGUCCUUUUCAGAUAUGAGACCUAUUAGUCUAACAAAAAGGAUAUCAUUCAGUCCUUUUCAGAUAUGAGACCUAUUAGUCUAACAAAAAGGAUAUCAUUCAGUCCUUUUCAGAUAUGAGACCUAUUAGUCUAACAAAAAGGAUAUCAUUCAGUCCUUUUCAGAUAUGAGACCUAUUAGUCUAAGUAAUUUCAUUAACAAGAUCCUGUCCAGAAUUACGCAUGAUAGAUUGGAAAAGAUUCUCCCAAAACUGAUUUCUACUAACCAAUCUGGAUUUGUUAAGGGCAAAAGUAUCAUUAAGAAUGUUCUAUUGGCUCAGGAUCUUGCCACCGAUAUUACUAAGAAGGGAAAGCCUGAGAAUGUGAUUAGAAAGCUGGCUAAGGCCUAUGAUAGGGUUUCUUGGUCCUUUCUUAUGAAAGUACUAAGGAAAAUGGGAUUUUGUAAUAGAGUGGUAGAUUUGAUUUGGAGAUUACUAGCAAAUAAUUACUACUUUGUGCUUCUUAAUGGUCAAUCAUAUAGGUUUUUUCAUUCAACUAGAGGAGUUAAACAAAGGGAUCCUUUAUCUCCAACAUUAUUCAUCUUUUCAGGAGAGGUCCUACAUUAUUCAUCAUUUUAGCAGAGGUCCUUUCUAAAGCUCUCAAUACUCUAUUUGAAGACCCCCAUUUUGUUUGUUAUGGAAUGCCUAAAUGGAGUGCUAAUCUCAAUCAUCUAGCUUUUGUUGAUGAUACCAUUAUUUUUACCUCUUCAAACAUAUAUUCUAUGGAAAAAUUAUGUCUAUUUUGAAGGAUUAUGAGAAGCAAUCAGGUCAAAAGAUCAAUAAGGAAAAUAUUUCUUAUUAUGUACACCAAAAUAUAUCAGCAACCUCUGCUAAUCAAGUGGAACAGAUUACAAGGAAGGUAAGAGGACAAUUCCCUAUGAUAUAUCUAGGAUACCCUAUUACACAUUCUAGAAAAAGAAAGGAGCACUAUGCAGAAUUAUUUAAUAAGAUUAAAGGUAGAUUGCAAAGUUGGAAAGGGAGAAUGCUUUCAUAUGGGGUUAAGGAAGUCCUUCUUACUAGCAUUCUUCAAAGAAUCCCUAUCUAUGUUCUUUCUUCUAUUACCCCCCCCCCCCCCCCCCCCCCCAAACUCCUCCCACACAAAUGUUAGUGUAUCGGUGUGGUACCCAUUCAAAUUGUUAGUGUAUUGAUAUGAUUCAUAGAAUAUUUGCUAAAUUCUAUUGGAGUAAUAAGGAAGAUAGCAGAAAUAAACACUGGUCUAAAUGGGUGAAUAUGUGUCUUUCUAAACAUGAGGGGGAUUUAGGAUUUAGGUCGAUGUUUGAUGUAUGAAAGGCUAUGUAUGCAAAGUUAUGGUGGAAUUUAAGAACUCAAGGUACUUUGUGGUCCAAUUCUAUGUGGACAAAGUAUUGUAAGAAACAAAUUUAUACCUUUGUUCAAUGGAAAGAAGGUUCCCAAAUCUGGAAACAUAUACUUGAGAAUAGGGAAAUGCUAGAGCAACAUAUGUGGUGGGAACCUAGAGGAGGUACUUCUACUGUUUGGUAUGAUAAUUGGUCUAACGUGGGACCCUUGUACCUACAUGCAGUUGAGGAGCAAACUUGUCACCCCAUGAAAAACGUUGAUGAAUUUCUAACUGAGGAUGGGUGGGACUAUACAACAAUGAGAGAUUUUGUCCCUGAGUAUGUUGUAGACAGAAAGUUAAAGCUAAGAUUUGUACAUGCUGUGAUUUAUAAACAUCUACAAGUACCAGUCAAAACAGAGUCAUAUUCAUUGGCAACCUCGACAAAAUAAAGUUAGUAAUCCUUUUUAUAGAUCUAAACCCAAGUGGUGGUAUCAAUUUCAUUUGUGGGAUUCAACUCACCGAGAUUAAAUCUAAGAAGAUGAGAAACUAUGCUUACCUCAGGUUUAGUAUGCAACAAGCAUUAUUGUGGUGGUCAAUUUGAGAUCAAAGCAAGUGUCAUUAAGCGGAUUACUCCGUGGGAAUCGCCUCUGUGUGGUUGUGAGCAAGAGAUAAUCGACUAUGUACGGAUGUGAUCAAGUGUUAAUCGAGAUCGACUGGUUACACCAUGGAUAGUCUUCUUCUAGCUACUAGAAAGAGCUUCCGUGCUCUUCAUUUUCCACGUUUCCUGUUCCUCUUUCCCUUUCCAUUUUCUUUCUUAUUUUGUUUGUUUCCCUUUCUGCAUUUUCUGAACAACUGUUAGGG
rnacentral:lncRNA from 1 species